UACGAAGGGGGCUAGCGUUGUUCGGAAUUACUGGGCGUAAAGCGCGCGUAGGCGGAUCUGCAAGUCGGGGGUGAAAUCCCGAGGCUCAACCUCGGAACUGCCUUCGAUACUGCGGGUCUCGAGUCCGGGAGAGGUGAGUGGAAUUCCUAGUGUAGAGGUGAAAUUCGUAGAUAUUAGGAAGAACACCAGUGGCGAAGGCGGCUCACUGGCCCGGUACUGACGCUGAGGCACGAAAGCGUGGGGAGCAAACAGG
rnacentral:rRNA from 1 species